rnacentral:lncRNA from 10 species
GAUCUACCAUGAAAGACUUGUGAAUCCAGGAAGAGAGACUGACUGGGCAACAUGUUAUUCAGGGUCUCCCUCUGUUGUCCAAGGCUGGAGUGUAGUAGUGCUAUCGCAGCUGACUGCAGCCUCAACCUUCCAGGCUGAAGCGAUCCUCCCACCUCAACCUCCCACGUGGCUGAGACUACAGGUGCUUGCCACUAUGCCCAACUAACAUUUGGAAUUUUCGUAUACGUGGAUUCCAGAGGGGUGACAGCGAAACGUGGGACCAUCCAGUUGCAGGAAAACAAGCUUAACACGCCCACUAAUUCUACAUUAUGCUCCUACCUCCCGGCAGCCUCUCCAGGCCCAGAACUUUCUCCAGUCAGCCUCUACAGACCAAGCUCAUGACUCACAAUGGCCUAUUUAGGCCCAUACCCUACGUCACGGCAGCCUCCGCAGAUGAGGCUACUGCCUCACAACAGCCUCCACAGGCACAGCUCCAUCGUUACAAUGGCCUCUUUAGACCCAGCUCCUGCCUCCCAGCCUUCUCUCCAGGCCCUGAACUUUCUCAAGUCGACCUCACCAGGCCCAGCUCAUGCUUCUUUGCAGCCUCUCCAGGCCCAGCUCCUGCAUCUUGGUGGCCCCUCCAGGCCCAGCCUCUGCCUCCCGUCAGCCUCUACAGUCCCAACGUCUGCCUCACAGCAGAUUCUUCACGCCCAGCAUCUACCUCACUGUGGACCCCCCAAGCCAAGCUCCCAACCUUUCAGCAGCUU